GGUGAGGUGGCCGAGUGGUCUAAGGCGCACGCCUGGAACGCGUGUAUAUGAUAAACCGUAUCGAGGGUUCGAAUCCCUCCCUCACCGCCA
rnacentral:tRNA from 1 species